UACGGAGGGAGCUAGCGUUAUUCGGAAUUACUGGGCGUAAAGCGCACGUAGGCGGCUUUGUAAGUAAGAGGUGAAAGCCUGGAGCUCAACUCCAGAAUUGCCUUUUAGACUGCAUCGCUUGAAUCAUGGAGAGGUCAGUGGAAUCCGAGUGUAGAGGUAGAAAUUCGUAGAAUAUUCGGAAGAAACACCAGUGGCGAAGGCGACACACUGGCCCGUUACUGACGACUGAGGCGGCGAAAAGCGGUGGG
rnacentral:rRNA from 1 species